UUAAGCUUUGUGUGCCAUUACCUCAGUCGUUCUGCGGGAUGACUAAUACUCUGUUAAAUUCCUGUCAUUUGGAACCUGCCCUGCUUUAUGAAGUCUGGAUGACGGCUUUAGAGAGACAUUCUCAGUGCUCCCAGAUACCAUUACUAGCACAAAGGAAGGUGGGAGACGAAGCCCCUGAUGUGGCAGCACUUAGAUUGCAUUAAAGCAGUUCCGCACUCAGGUGGAAUGUGGUGGAAUCCAGCUUUUCCUUGCUUUGCUGGAUAUACAGACUGCAUCCCUCUACACAGUUCAUCUAUUCCGUCCGCAAAAAUACUCUCACCACUAGAAGAUACAACUAUGUACCACGGCUUCAUUUGAGUCCUGCGGUGCCACAGCACCAUUCCUCUUCUGUGAGACGGGACAAAAAUUACAGAAAUUAGGCUGACUGUCUGGAAAGUACCAUGCAAGAAAUAUGACAGCAAGUAAAGCCGACUGCCUCUUGU